GCGUCGUGAUUACAAACCGGACGUCUAAGAGUCAACCGGCCGCACAAUCGGUGUGGACCCUUGUCCCCCCGUGUCUGAGUG
rnacentral:snoRNA from 1 species